rnacentral:rRNA from 1 species
AUUGCACAAUGGGGGAAACCCUGAUGCAGCGACGCCGCGUGAGUGAAGAAGUAUUUCGGUAUNUAAAGCUCUAUCAGCAGGGAAGNNCANNNCNGUACCUGAUUAAGAAGCCCCGGCUAACUACGUGCCANNNGCCGCGGUAAUACGUAGGGGGCAAGCGUUAUGCGGAUUUACUGGGUGUAAAGGGAGCGUAGACGGCAGCACAAGUCUGGAGUGAAAUGCCGGGGCUUAACCCCGGAGCUGCUUUGGAAACUGUGCAGCUAGAGUGCAGGAGAGGUAAGUGGAAUUCCUAGUGUAGCGGUGAAAUGCGUAGAUAUUAGGAGGAACACCAGUGGCGAAGGCGGCUUACUGGACUGUAACUGACGUUGAGGCUCGAAAGCGUGGGGAGCAAACAGG